GGGAGCAAACAUGGUGGCCGUGCCUGAGGGGACACCACUGUGUAAAUCACCCUCAGCUGCCAUGGCCAGACCUGCACCCACAGCCCGUGGAGCUCACCCCACACGAGCAUGGCUGCCCACUCCCCUGCCCCUCUAUAAGCACCCUGGGUUUCAGGCUGUGUGCUGCUAUAAAGCAAAGCACGCCAGCUCCCACAGCUGCCUCUGAACUGCCACAAAAAGCAGAUGAGCUGUGAGGGAGGACACUCCCCUUCAGGAUAAGAAAAUAAUCAGUAAAGAGAAUAUGUAGAGAAGCACAAUGAUGUUUCAUCUGUUCCAGAUCCAAGAUUCUUUCCUGGAGUCCAGGGGAAAGUGCAUCCUUGUGACUGAAAUCCAAGGAUCAGGAGUUCGUGUCCUCACUGAAGCCCCACAGCAGAACUGCACUUCAGGAAAGCAAGUCCUGGGAAUAGCAGGUGUUUGCAGCACUGAAGAGCUCCAGCCCAGCACACGCCAGAGACAGCCCAGAGCUGGAGGGGAGGUUUGAGAUGGUUCUGAAACUGGACAUACAAAGUAUCCAUGGAUUCGUCUCCUCUCCUGUUUGACAGAAAGCACAGGCCCGACUCCGAGUCUUUACACAUCUCCUGUAAGUUACUGCAUGAACAUUUGCAUUUUCACAUUGAGAUCUUACACAAAGUAUAUAGUGAACCCUGUAACCCUUCCAAAGUGAUGUUUAAUCUGACUAUUAUUUGUGGGCUUGUUAUCAGGUUUGGGCACUGCUGCACGAGUGCCUCAGUGAUUUCACACUGUGACCUGGCUUUGUAGGAUGGGUUAAUCACUAUGUUUACAUUUCUUUCUUCUCUUAAAUUAUAGAGUUGAUUUUACUUUUCUUAUGAUGGCAAUUUUAUUGUAAGGUUUUAUUUCUCUUUUACUGCGUAUGAAAUGGAACACUGAGGUGCAACCAAAAUUACCCUUGUAAUUGCAGCACAGUGAAUAAGUAUGUGCAAGAGAAUAAUCUUGUAAAAGCUGAUUACCCUGGUUAUUAAUAAUUAGGAUUUGUGAGUUAAGUAAUAUGGAGCAGCUAUAUCCAAUUCCUUGGCAAUUUCAUGUAGACAGCUGAGAGAUAAUUUUAGAAAUAAUCCAGUGUGAAAUCCCAAUUGACAACUGAACCAGCAUCUUAGGGUCUGCCUGGGGCUUCUCCCUGGGCUUUGGCUGUUUGAAGCUGGAGUGGCAAUUUGCAGUUUUCUCUCAUCUGUGGCACAUAAAAAUUUGCCCAUUUUAAUUUCUUUGUGCUUUGCUUAAUUUGAUUCUUAGUAAGAUUUUUGUUUUCCCUGGGUUCUCCUGGCAGAAGAAUUAAUAUAUCUGAGGUUUGUAUGCAUGUACAUGGGGUUGGCUGUUCCUUAUGUUUCCUUCUGUAUUUUUUUCUGAUGGUUUAUUACCUACUAAACAGGCUUAGUGUAAAUAAUAUUUUUUAUACCUUUGAAAAUAUCAUAGAGCACUUCUAAUCUACUCUAUUCUGAUUUGGUGAUACAUGAACUCUUGCAAGUCUGGAGAGAACAGUUACAAAUCUAAUGGUUUUUUGGCCCUUCUGUAAGUUUAUGCAGGAGCCUAAGUGGGUGCCCAUCCAUAAAAAACCAAGUAAUUUUGUUGAGCACUCCCCAAAACUCUCUCCUCCACCCCCAGGAGUUCUCCAGUCCUGCACCUGCCAGGCACUUACCAUACAUCAUCACUGGGGAGUCCAGGCUCUAAUCAAAGCUUUUGGGAUUGCUCUUUCAGUUCAAGUCUCAGCAGAAAUCAAGUUUUCAUCUCGCAGGUGAUGAAAGGCGAGGGCCCUGUCAGUCAGGGCUGAGGUAACUUGCUCAGCCUAACA